CUUCCUUGCGUUUUGAAGUGUUCGCAUCAAGUGCAUCAACUGCUUCAAAAAUUUAUUUCUUUUUACAAUGCUGCUAUUUUCUCCCUGGUCAAAAUGCAGCCUCUGCAUCAUGCUGUAGAGAAGCUCAUAGGGCUGCAUUUAGUUAGAAGCCGUAGCCCUGAACCAAGGCCUGCAGGCUAUGCAGUGGCAACCACUUUUCCACCAUGGAGAAUUCAUCACAGCAGCUCCCUCCCACCCACACUUCAAUACAAAUGCUAGUUUUAAAUAUGAGUCUUCACAAACUAUAGGCUUUAUACUUUCCUAUGGUUUCUGUUAUUUAUUUUCCAAAAUAUCCAUUACGAUUCAAUUCCAGUCGUACAGAGGUACAAAGCAUUUAAAUGGAAUGGAGAGAGACUCCAAAGUCCAACAUUUCAGAACCAUGAACAGACAGCGAGAUGUAUAUAUAUAUAUAUACACACAUACAGAUUUAACAGAAUGGUUACACAACUCCCAGAAGAAACUUACUUCCUUUAAAUGUGGAUUUUCUUUCCUUGUAUUCUUCAUUUCUAGAAGAAAUCCCCACUGAUUUUUCAUGGGGAACAAUUUUAAAACAUCUCACAACUGACCUGCACCCACUGCAGUGAGCACAUGGGAACGAGAUGGGAGCAUGGCAGCCAAAGGCCAGCUGCAGGCAGCAGGGGAACCACAAGGUGAGAGCAUUGACAGUCUGACCCUGACGUCUCUUCUACCUUCAGGCUGUGCAGACGAAGCCAUUUCUGCUGAGAUACCACCUGGGGUUUGCCACAUGUUGCAGCCAACAGCACUGCUGCAUUUUCAUGGCUUUUGAAGUUCAGUAUCACAGAAUCAUGGAACUACAGGAUUACAGAAUGUCUCAGGUUGGAAGGGACCUUAAAGAUCAUUCAGUUCCAAUCUGCUGCUGUGGGCAUGGUUACCACUCACCUUCCAGAGAGGCCUAAGUGCUCUGAAAGAAUAUCAGUUUGUGAACAUUGGCCUGAAGGUCUCUUUCAAAACGCUCAAGGACACCAGGGAGGCUGGGCAGAACUCUGAAGAGGUCCAGUAAGGGAAUGGAGUGUGGGAGCAGAGCACAAGGAGGAGCAUGGUCUAAGUGAGCCACUACAGGUACCAUGCAUGGCUCUGGUAAGGCAGCAACAGGAGCUGCGAAAAAAGCGAGGUCAGGAAAAUCUGAAGUGCUGACAUAAGAGCAAUAUCUGAAGCUUAGGGAACAUUCUGCCUAGGAAUUAGGUCUAUAAGAACAUAAGGCAAAGAGAAAUUGUGAGUACGAAACAAAGGAGGAGCCGACCAAAACACAAAGCAACACAGGGAGAAACAGCAGGAGAGUGUGAUGUGGUAAACAGUGAGAUUCCCCAGUCAGGUUUAAUUGCCAGCACUGAAAGCGAAUGGGAUAUCCAGGAGAGGAGAUGGAGUACAGCAGCCUUUCGUCUGGUGUCUGGAGGCUGUGGGCCAAGAUGGAAGGAGGAAGGAGUGUCCUUGGCACCAGCAGGCAUGGGAGCAGCCCCCCAGCACAGUCAGCAACGUCUAGCAUUAAGAGAUGGGAAAGAAGGUGGCAGCUGGGGAAGAGGGCACUGAUGUAGCCAUGGCUUUGAGCUACGGAACUCAGCAGGGAUGCCAGGGAAAUGCCAUGGCUGUGUUGUGAAGGGAAAAUAAAACCAGGCUGGUGCCCCCGCAGAUCUCCUCCCAGCUCUUCUCCAAGAUGCCAUCCAGUUGUUCCAAAACUGUGCACUGACACAGCAAAUCGCUGCCCCAAACAUUCUUCUGAAAGUGAGAUGUUUACUUUUAGACAUAUUCUGCAGAUAGAAUUUCAUUCUUUAAUUAAACCCCACUAUUUAAAAAAGAAAAAAAUCUUGCAAGGAUUAGCUGGUAUUGACAGCCACCUAGUUUACAAAAAAAUGCACCUAACGAUUCAUGGUCAUCCUUGCUUCUCCUUCCCCUUCUCAAUACAUGUUUAUUGGGGCCUCAGAUGGAGGAACAGAAAUGCAGCUGAGAGAAAGAGCUGCUGUGGUCUCCAGGCCCCUUUCUUCCAAUCUGACCAGACUUGUGAGCAUCAACUCAUCCAGACACAAGGGGGAUGGCUUGCACAGCUAGAGCGUGUCCCACAGCUGGUAAUCCCAGGGUAAAGGAGAAUAUUUUUUUGCCUUUGUUACCAUAUUUGUUCAGGGGCAGAGAAUAAUCUUCCUCUGCUCAAGAACAGAUGUACACUGAGCACACUGGUUUACAAGAUGGAAACUUCUGCUACUGAGAGAAACUCAGUGCACCAAAACAUUGGUUAAUGAGUCUGGUUCUAAAAAGUGAAGCAGAGCUGGGCAAGAGAUCUCUUAGAAAGCUUUUCCAGAGCCUUGUUGGGCAGAAAGCUGAUGCCUUUUUGUGUGCCUCUGUGUGGGCUGAUGGCAGCCUCCCCAGCCACAUCAAGCAGAGCACAUCCAUUGCAUAUCCCUCUGCAGCUGGUGAGCUCCUGUCAGGAAGCACCCCAGUAGGGCAGGCACUAACACUACGCUUCUUUCCUCCUUUCUUCAGAUAGUAUUUAGGAAUAACACAAUGUGACUUUAAUGUCUCCAUUUCAUUUUCAAAUUUCUCAUAGUCAUGGCCAUUGUAAAGAGGCAUUAAAGGAGGAAUUCCAGCGCUUGCUCAUUUCCUCACAACUGCUCUGUGCUUAACACUAUAAAUUUGAACAUGUUUUUUGCAUAAUCAUGUCCAUGCUUUCUUUCUUACUUUUGACUGGAGAUCUUUCUUCAUCAGCUGUGGCUCUAAAAGGUGUUUUUUUUUUUUUUGUUUGUUUUUUUUGGUGACAUUCACAAAGAAGACCAUAUGUAAUAAUGAACAAUUAUGCAAAGUAAACUUUGUAGGAGUGUGUCUUUAUGUCAGGGUACAGAAGGUCAGGCAAUAUCAACUUAUUAAAUGACUCCAGAAAAUAUUAGUCUGCACUCUUUAAUCAAAAAGAUAUCAAUGAUCAACACUGUGGCCUUUCCUUUAAUCACCUGCUGUAAUUUAAUCAAAAGCUGAGCAAGAAAAGCAGUUUUGAGCGUUAGCUUUGAUUAUAUUAAAAUGGAAAAAAUCUUUAUUACUGUAUGAAUCACAGCUCAGGAUUUCAGGCUUUUAUAUUGUGCAACCCGAAGCAUAGAAAAGCUUUUGACAUUUAAAUUUAAUUCAGUACUAAGGCUGAUGAGAAGAAAAACAUGGCCUUUAGUAAAAAAAGUCAAUUAAAAACUUUCAGAAUUUUAAGUUGGACACUCAAGAUUCCACAAGUGCAGAAUGUGUCCACUUCAAAAUAUGGCUAAGUCUGACAUCCCUUGAGCACUGAACCCUCGAUGAGAAAAAGGAAAUUAUCCAGAAGUACAGUGCCUUGUGCAAUGGAUAGCUUCUUUUCUCUUUCCUUUCUUUUCUCUUUCCUUUCUUUUCUCUUUCCUUUCUUUUCUCUUUCCUUUCUUUUCUCUUUCCUUC
ensembl:lncRNA